GACGAACGCUGGCGGCGCGCCUAACACAUGCAAGUCGAGCGAUGAACAUUGAAUGAUCCCUUCGGGGUGAUUUCGAUCGGAUUAGCGGCGAACGGGUGAGUAACGCGUGAGGAACCUGCCUCUUACAACGGGAUAGCCUCGGGAAACCGGGAUUAAUACCGUAUAAGACUCCGACAUCUCCUGAUGAUGAAGUCAAAGCGUUAGCGGUAAGAGAUGGCCUCGCGUCUGAUUAGCUUGUUGGCGGGGUAACGGCCCACCAAGGCGACGAUCAGGAAACGGGCUGAGAGGGUGAACGGUAACAUUGGAACUGAGACACGGUCCAAACUCCUACGGGAGGCAGCAGUGGGGAAUCUUGCACAAUGGGGGCAACCCUGAUGCAGCGACGCCGCGUGAGCGAUGAAGGUUUUCGAAUCGUAAAGCUCUGUCCUAUGGGAAGAUAAUGACGGUACCAUGGGAGGAAGCCCCGGCUAACUACGUGCCAGCAGCCGCGGUAA
rnacentral:rRNA from 1 species